CGUGCCUAACACAUGCAAGUCGAACGCGAAAGGGGCUUCGGCCCUGAGUAGAGUGGCGAACGGGUGAGUAACGCGUGGGAAUAUGCCCUUCGGUUCGGAAUAACACAGGGAAACUUGUGCUAAUACCGGAUACGAUCUACGGAUGAAAGAUUUAUCGCCAAGGGAGUAGUCCGCGUAGGAUUAGCUAGUUGGUGAGGUAAUGGCUCACCAAGGCGACGAUCCUUAGCUGGUCUGAGAGGAUGAUCAGCCACACUGGGACUGAGACACGGCCCAGACUCCUACGGGAGGCAGCAGUGGGGAAUAUUGGACAAUGGGGGAAACCCUGAUCCAGCCAUGCCGCGUGAGUGAUGAAGGCCUUAGGGUUGUAAAGCUCUUUCGCCAGGGAAGAUAAUGACGGUACCUGGAAAAGAAGCCUCGGCUAACUCCGUGCCAGCCGCCGCGGUAAUAC
rnacentral:rRNA from 1 species